UUAGUAGCACUAGGUUAAGGGAAAAUCCUUGCAUGUGUGCAUCCCUCCAGCAGGCUGAUCUGUAGGAUUUUCUGUGCUCUCUCUGGAGGCAUUAGGUUCAAACAGGGUAAUCCAAUUUUUUGAGAAUUGCAGCAAUGAGUUUGAGGCUUCUUGGAUGAGACACAACAAAAUAAGAAUCUGAGGUGGUCACAGUUUAAGCAAGUUUUGAUCUUCCCUCUGUGUUCUUUUCAGACAGGCUCUAUCAAAUGCUGUGUAAACAUUCCUUGAUUAUUACUGUGUAACAUACAUUCUAGGUAAAACCUUGUGAUCAUCUCUGUAUGACUUGAAUUACCAGUUCUUUUGCUUUUCGUUAUUCUCUCUAACACUUUUCCUCAGUUUCUGAGGUGGUCAUACUUUUGCAUCCCAGCUGAAAGAAUAGAGACCCUGGUCAGGGUCCAAAGCUGUUUAAGUCUCAAAAAAGGCCAGUAGCAUUAAAGCACUUGUCUUCAUCCUUUCUGUAGGAUUGCCCUUCCUUUGAAUCUCUGUCGUUGUGCAGUUGCUGGUACAUCCUGUUCUAAGGUGUACAGUACCCUCUAUCCUAUCUAUAUAUAGGAACAGAAUGAGGCAUGUAAAAGCAGUUUCUUUCUUGGUGUUCUUUAUACCAGGAAUCAAGCUGGGUGCUGUCAUGAUGUACUUUGAUAAAUGCUAGUCAGAGAAAGGGGUUUUUAAAACCCAUUGGUGAUAUGACAUAUUGUCGUCUCAGUUUCCAAAUCACAAGUCCUUUGGUUGAUAAUAAAAUUGUUGCUUCUGGUUUUUUGUAAUUAUUAAGUCUUAGAGAUGAGAGUGAAGGCCAACCCUCUUCAGUGUUAUCAGUAAUGGAAAUGUCUGCAGAGGAAUUGUGGCAAAUGCAUGCCUCCCAGCUUUCAGUGGUUUCAGGUAUAGUGAUCUGGAACUUGGUAAGCACCAUGGCUGCACUUUGGUGUCAGCUCUGUGAUGUAAGAAAAUUAGUGUUUCCACUAUGGCAAUGUUUUCCUAGUGAGCUCAUAGUGCUAGAAAUUGCACAUGGGUGACUGGCACUCAGUUGUAUCUGAAGGGUUGGCAGCUGUUGUGACUCUAGUGCUACUUUAGGCUGCAUUGUUGAGGUGGUGUGGAGGGCAGAGUUGAGGAGAGAGAUAAGACACAUCCAGCGUGUGCAAGAGCCGCUGUAUGCAGCUGUCAAGCCCAAGAAGAUUUUGUUACUACGUGAGACAAGCAAUGCAGCAAAAAGAAUUCUGAUAGAAAUGACAGUGAACAGUCAUAUGGCUCCAGAGGCAAGCUGUGUGGAUUGUUUGCAUCAUGGAAUCAUAGAAGCACAGAAUAGUUUGGGUUGGCAGCGACCCUAAAGAUCACCUAGUUCCACCCUACCUGGCACCUUCUUCUAGAGCAGGUUGUUAAUAAAG